CUACGUGCCAGCAGCCGCGGUAAUACGGAAGGUCCGGGCGUUAUCCGGAUUUAUUGGGUUUAAAGGGAGCGUAGGCCGGAGAUUAAGUGUGUUGUGAAAUGUAGACGCUCAACGUCUGACUUGCAGCGCAUACUGGUUUCCUUGAGUACGCACAACGUUGGCGGAAUUCGUCGUGUAGCGGUGAAAUGCUUAGAUAUGACGAAGAACUCCGAUUGCGAAGGCAGCUGACGGGAGCGCAACUGACGCUUAAGCUCGAAGGUGCGGGUAUCGAACAGGAUUAGAUACCCUGGUAGUCCGCACAGUAAACGAUGGAUGCCCGCUGUUGGUACCUGGUAUCAGCGGCUAAGCGAAAGCAUUAAGCAUCCCACCUGGGGAGUACGCCGGCAACGGUGAAACUCAAAGGAAUUGACGGGGGCCCGCACAAGCGGAGGAACAUGUGGUUUAAUUCGAUGAUACGCGAGGAACCUUACCCGGGCUUGAAUUGCAGAGGAAGGAUUUAGAGAUAAUGACG
rnacentral:rRNA from 1 species